rnacentral:rRNA from 1 species
AACGAACGCUGGCGGCGUGUUUAAGACAUGCAAGUCGCACGGGAUAAGACAUGUAGUAAUACUUGUUUUAUUUAGUGGCGCACGGGUGAGUAACACGUGAAUUACAUGCCCUAUAGUGGGGAAUAGCCCAGGGAAACUUGGAUUAAUACCCCAUGGUAUCGAAAGAUUAAAGGUGGCCGCAAGGCUGUCGCUAUAGGAUUGGUUCGCGCCCUAUCAGCUUGUUGGUGAGGUAACGGCUCACCAAGGCAAUGACGGGUACCCGGUCUGAGAGGACGAUCAGGCACACUGGAACUGAGACACGGUCCAGACACCUACGGGUGGCAGCAGUCGAGAAUAAUUCACAAUGGGGGCAACCCUGAUGGUGCAACGCCGCGUGGAGGAUGACGGUCUUCGGAUUGUAAACUCCUGUCAUCUGGGAGAAAGACCUGACGGUAAAUAGCCGGCAGGGUUGAUAGUACCAGAAGAGGAAGGGACGGCUAACUUCGUGCCAGCCGCCGCAGUAA